rnacentral:rRNA from 1 species
UACAGAGGCCCCAAGCGUUACUGAGAAUCACUGGGUUUAAAGGGUGCGUAGGUGGCGCGUUAAGUCCGUUGUGAAAUCCCUUGGCUCAACCAAGGAAAUGCUUCGGAUACUGGCGUGCUUGAGGCUAGUAUGGGUCACUGGAACUGACGGUGGAGCGGUGAAAUGCGUAGAUAUCGUCAGGAACGCCAAUGGUGAAGACAGGUGACUGGGCUAGUUCUGACACUGAGGCACGAAAGCGUGGGGAGCGAACAGG